UACGGAGGGUGCGAGCGUUAAUCGGAAUAACUGGGCGUAAAGCGCACGCAGGCGGGCUUUUAAGUGAGAUGUGAAAUCCCCGGGCUUAACCUGGGAAUUGCAUUUGAGACUGGGAGGCUAGAGUACUGUAGGGGGGGGUAGAAUUCCACGUGUAGCGGUGAAAUGCGUAGAGAUGUGGAGGAAUACCGACGGCGAAGGCAGCCCCUUGGGAAAAUACUGACGCUCAGGUGCGAAAGCGUGGGGAGCAAAUAGG
rnacentral:rRNA from 1 species